ensembl:snoRNA SNORA70 Small nucleolar RNA SNORA70
GUGCAGCCAAUUAAGCCUGCUGUUCCCCUGUCCCCGUGGGAGCUCAUUGUGCAGUGGCUGCAGACAGCAGCCUCCUUGGUAGUGUACACAGCCUGUUGCUUGUAUGGUUUGCCCAUAGGGACCUUGAGACAGCC